UAUAUGUAUUUUCUCUUAGCAAAAAUAAUUGAGAAUAGAAAAAUAAAAAAAAUUUCUUCUGGAAUUUGUCAAAAGGGUGUUGUGUUAUUCUUCAUUUCAAGAGCAGUUAAGAGGAGCUGAUCGCUUUUUUAG